AAAAGAGAAAACAAAAUGAAAAGGUGUCCCAUCUACCCCCACCCUGCUAUAUUAUAUUAACCCUUUUACUACACUGUCGACUGGGCUCGAUCAAAAACAAAUCUGAAGUAACCAACAAAACGGGUUCUAGUCGCCAUUGGUGACUGUAGAGCAGUAGGCUCCUGUAGAGCAGUAUAGCUCCUGUACCAUGUGUUUAUUGUAAACUUACACUAGUUAACGUUGUUGUCGGUUAAAAACAUUUGUUUUUAUGAAUUAAGACAAACCCUAAACACGCAGCAGCCUAAUUAUGAAAUGUUAAAAGUUAAUAUUAAUCAUAUAAUGCUUAAUUAAAAAUAAUGUUCCAAUUACGAUAAAUGAUAAUAAGGUAUAAGAGCAGUGUUUUUGAUGCGUUCCCACUUAAAUGGAAAUAGUUUGAUUCAGGCGUGAAUCAAAGUGAGGAUUCCUUAUCUCACCAACACGUGCGGCCCAGGCAGACAGUAUAACCGCUGUCUGGACAAUCUGGUUACUGGAUCUACUGGCCUAACGGUUAUGGCACCCGCUAUUAUAGCCUAAUAUCCCGGGUUCGAACCUUGCCUGUCGUAACAAUUAUUUUGGAUUUAUUUCCUUUUUAU